AGCUGAAAUACGCUGAGUGCAGGGGUGAGGGUAGGGGUGGAAGCUGAGGUAUGGAGUUUUAUUUCCUUCUCUACAUAAUUCAGAAAGCACUACUUGUUAGGUCGUUGUGGCCAUGUGAUAAGGCGAUCGACUAGAUAUCCUCUUGGCCAUCCUGGUACAGAUUCUUUCAACUACCAGAGUCUUAAUCUUUGGAGUAAAUAAGUAACAGUUUAAGGCAGAGUGCAGUUUUGGUGGCCACGAUUGAACUCUGACCUGAGAAAACCGCUUCUGCAGUCGCUACUGAAUGGAUUCCUAUUAAGGGAUUUAUGUCAGAUCCUGUGCUGGGUGCUAAGAAAAGGCGUUAAGUAGCCUACAGUCUAGACAUGCUUUUAAACAAGAAUACAUCAAAUCUUUCAGAACGUAUCCAGAAUUUAACCACUUCCACCGACACUACCCAUGAUGCUUUAGCCACCGUCUUCCUGCUUCCCGGAAGAGAGAAAGAGAGAGAAGAAAAAGUCCACAUUCAGAUUUUUGCAGGAUAGAAGAAUCUUUUUGCUAAUAAUCUCCACAUUAAAGAUGAUUGCAAAAUUCAAAAAAAAAUGUAUUUGAGAAAUUCAGCCCAUUUUUAUUAAACUGCUACUAUUUGCCAGAUGUUAUUCUGUGACCAGGGAAAGAAAGACUAUGUAAAAGGCCUCAUUCUGUGCUCCAGAAGCUGCUAAUUUACUAGUCAAGAAAAGCCAAGACCUUUCAUAAGUGAGCCAGGAGGGCCAACGCGCCCAGUGAGUGUAGGAUUUAAGAAAAUCAAGGAAACGCCUCAUGUGUGGACUGCUGACAUUAUCUUCAAACAAGGUGCCUGAGGUCACACAGAUUCACUGACAAGCCUGAAAGAAGCAAUCCAAAAUAUAACUUUAGAUCUGUAUCACGUUAUUAGGCCAAGCACUUUACAGAACAUUAUAAAUUCUAUAAACACCUCGUCCAUAGAAUGAUUUUAAUGCAACAUGUUUUGUGUUGACUCAUCUGUUAAAUUUAAAAAUUGUGAACAGUCACUAUUUUUGUAGUCCUACUGUAGUGUUUGUUUCUUAAGAUGUGGAAGCCUCAAAUAAUAGUAAUGGCCCUGGAGCUCUCUAAACCCCUGAGAAACACCGAGAAAAGCAUUCCUUUCUUCGUUAGAGACAUACUGUCAAAAGUGCUCAAACGUCAUAUUAUAACCAUCAGAGAAAGUACUAGAAGAGCUUGGGAAGGGGGAAAUUGUUAUGCCUGGGGGCCUGCAGAUAUCCACGCAGGAUGGAGAGAAAGAUAUUCGUAGAGACGCUGCCUUUAGGAAGACUGCCUUCCUGGGUGCGGUUUCCGUGACGACAGUCCGGGCCGACAUCCCAAGUACCUCGGGUCUGAAGAUGGUGAAUGUGCAAGGGGAUACCAAAAGGCAAAGACAGCCUUUCCAGACUGGAAAGUGCCAAAGAGAAGAAAAUUGGAAAAGGGCCAUCUGCACACAUCCUGAACCUUAAAUAGUCAUUGAAGCCUAGGGGCCUGUCCCAAAAUCCAGAGAAUAAAAACAUAUGCACCCUC
rnacentral:lncRNA from 1 species